rnacentral:rRNA from 1 species
AGAUUGAACGCUGGCGGCAUGCCUUACACAUGCAAGUCGAACGGCAGCACAGGAGCAAUCCUGGUGGCGAGUGGCGAACGGGUGAGUAAUACAUCGGAACGUGCCCAAUCGUGGGGGAUAACGCAGCGAAAGCUGUGCUAAUACCGCAUAAGAUCUACGGAUGAAAGCAGGGGAUCGCAAGACCUUGCGCGAAUGGAGCGGCCGAUGGCAGAUUAGGUAGUUGGUGAGGUAAAGGCUCACCAAGCCUUCGAUCUGUAGCUGGUCUGAGAGGACGACCAGCCACACUGGGACUGAGCACGGCCAGACUCCUACGGGAGCAGCAGUGGGAAUUUUGGACAAGUGGGACGAAAGCCGUGAUUCCAGUCCAGUGCCGCGUG